UGCCNCGGGGGCUUGGGCCAUGGCGUUGGAGGCGGCAAUGCACAGGAGAGCGAUGCACAAAAUGGCUCGGCGAUCCAUUUCGCUCGUAGUAGAGAAAAAGGAAAAAGAGAAAGAAGAAAGAGAGAAGAGAGAGAGGAGUGGAGUAGUGGGGGGAGUGGAAGCGGGGAAGAGAAAUAAAUAGAGGCGGUGUGGCGAACAGAAGCGAACAAUAGACGCGGUGGGUGAUGGUAUCUGGCGCCGGAUCACAGACUGGCGGUGGGGUCCAAGGGGCACAUGGGCGUGGGCGAGUGGCAUUCGCAACGGAACGAUUCCGGUCGGCAGGACGCGUCCGGCCAGAUGGACACUGUUCGGUGGCGCCAGCUUGGCCUGUGUGUCCG
rnacentral:lncRNA from 1 species